rnacentral:rRNA from 1 species
UACGAAGGGGGCUAGCGUUGCUCGGAAUCACUGGGCGUAAAGCGCACGUAGGCGGAUUGCUAAGUCAGGGGUGAAAUCCUGGAGCUCAACUCCAGAACUGCCUUUGAUACUGGCAACCUUGAGUCCGGGAGAGGUGAGUGGAACUGCGAGUGUAGAGGUGAAAUUCGUAGAUAUUCGGAAGAACACCAGUGGCGAAGGCGACUCGCUGGACAAGUAUUGACGCUGAGGUGCGAAAGCGUGGGGAGCAAACAGG